CAUUGUGGGAACUUUGCUGUCAGCAAUUGUCCGGGUCUUUUUCCAGGAUGUCUCUCUGCGGAACAGGAGCCAUUUAAGCUCCUUUAAAAGCAUACCUGGAGGGUAGCAUUGUAAAGCCUCAAAGUGAAACAGCCUUUCCCAUGGUUACUUUCAAUUCAGCAGAACAAUCCAGCAAUCCUACAGACAGACAGACAGUGUCUCGCCUUCAAGAGAGCAGUUUUAUGGAUUAAACAUGGAGCAAACUUUUCUUCAGAAAGGCCUCCAUAUUUCAUAUGUCCUCAUCCUGAGAAGCGUGGUCUAAAACCCUCACAAUCACCGCCCCCUCUUUCCCAACGGAGAGCUUCUGAGGCUGAAUGAUGAUACUGUUGGAUGUCUGAAGAAGGGAUUUCAUAAGCUGGAAUGGAAGGAUGGAAUUGGCUCCUCUCUAAAAUUCAGAUGGAGUGAAAUGUCUGGAGGAUUUUGUGGAGGCCUUGCAUUAAACCCCUGCUCAAGAGCCCAGCUUUCUGUGGUAAUAGAGAGCCGACACCGUCUAUAGAGUACUUACAGCCCUGCGCCACCUUAAAACUAAACGACUGUCUUCUGAAAGACGCUUCACAGACGCCAGUAGCCGCUGCAUGGAACGUGGAAAUAUCAUCCAUUGACUAAUGUUUUUGAGUUUAAUGGUAGCCAAGGAAACUAAAGUCUUCACAGUUUCAAGACAUUUAGAAUGAACCAAUACCACUAAUGAUGAAACAUUUUGAGUACCAAUGCAAAAAAUGGCAUUUAUAUUUUUUUUUUACCUUUUUUUUCAUCUAUCAUGUAAAACCAUCAAAGAUAAUUAAUGACAGUAUCUCUAAAUGCAUCUUAAUUGCAACCGUAGAAAAUAUUCUCUAAAGAAAAUGGUAAAUGCUCCAGGGAAUUUACAUAGCAUGAAAAUGUUGGGCUGGAGUGCAUAAUUUAGUUUAAUAAAUUAAUAAAAUAUGUACCCUGUUUUUUCACAUGAUGCAAAUUAACUAUAAAAAAACAUUUAUCACUCCUUCAUUAGCAACAUAAUGGAGUCAGUGACCUUUUGUCUAGGUAUGCUGUGAUUUACACAGCCACCAUCCUUCUUCACUCCUCUUUUUCUUCAUAUUUAGUUGAUUUGACAACCUGUGAGGUUCCAAGUGUUGACCCAUGCAGGACUCCUAGCCACAACAUCCAAAUGAGUCUGUCAGACACUCUCCAGACCCCAUCUGCUGCAGUGUCAUUUAUAGUGCUGCUACUUCAAGUU